GUACUUGGACCUGGUGGCGAGCGGCGGACGGGUGAGUAAUGCCUAGGAAUCUGCCUGGUGGUGGGGGAUAACGCUCGGAAACGGACGCUAAUACCGCAUACGUCCUACGGGAGAAAGCAGGGGACCUUCGGGCCUUGCGCUAUCAGAUGAGCCUAGGUCGGAUUAGCUAGUUGGUGAGGUAAUGGCUCACCAGGGCGACGAUCCGUAACUGGUCUGAGAGGAUGAUCAGUCACACUGGAACUGAGACACGGUCCAGACUCCUACGGGAGGCAGCAGUGGGGAAUAUUGGACAAUGGGCGAAAGCCUGAUCCAGCCAUGCCGCGUGUGUGAAGAAGGUCUUCGGAUUGUAAAGCACUUUAAGUUGGGAGGAAGGGCAGUUACCUAAUACGUGUUUGUUUUGACGUUACCGACAGAAUAAGCACCGGCUAACUCUGUGCCAGCAGCCGCGGUAAUACAGAGGGUGCAAGCGUUAAUCGGAAUUACUGGGCGUAAAGCGCGCGUAGGUGGUUUGUUAAGUUGAAUGUGAAAUCCCCGGGCUCAACCUGGGAACUGCAUCCAAAACUGGCAAGCUAGAGUAUGGUAGA
rnacentral:rRNA from 1 species